UCCCAAUCUUCCUUCCAAGCUUAAACUUCCCACCCACAACAUGAUCCAUGAUGUCAAUAAAUUUCACCACCAACAACAACAACAAUAAUUUCAACACCCACAAUACUUAAUUUUCUCAAAUUUUCACCUACUUAGAUUAACCAAGAAACCCCUCAACACAUCCAAGAUACAAUUAACCCCAUCAAAAUCACUCAUACAUCAAUCAAUUUACCACCCCUCAAACUCAAAAUCCAUUAGAGGCCUAAAAAUCAUCAAAUGUACUCAUACAUCUAUCCAAAUACCUAAAUAUCAAGAAUCCAUUAAAGUUCACAACUUUAUUGAAAAAAAAGGCCUAAAAAUCAUCAAAACUACUCAUACAUCUAUCCAAUUACCACACCUAAAAAUCAAGAAUCCAUUAAAGUUCACAACUUUAUACUAAAAAUCCUAAAAAUUAUCAAAUCAAGAUUCAAGAAAAUUACUGUCCAGCUAUAUCCUUG
rnacentral:lncRNA from 1 species